rnacentral:pre_miRNA from 1 species
GUAGUAUUCCCUCCGUCCCAAAAUUCUUGUCUUACAUUUGUUUAGAUACGGAUGUAUCUAACACUAAAAUGUAACUAGAUACAUCCGUAUUUAGACAAAUUUAAGACAAGAAUAUUGGGACAGAGGGAGUACAAA